UGAAUCUUGAUGAUGCUGCAC
rnacentral:miRNA from 4 species